GGAUUGUGGCUCAGUGGUAGAGUGCUUGCCUAGCACGUGUGAGGCACUGAGUUCAAUUCUCAGCACCA
rnacentral:tRNA from 1 species